CCCAUCACAGACAUGGCAGCAACCCCACCGUGAUACUGUCCCCUCACAGACACCGAACAACCCCACCCUGGGACUGUCCCCUCACAGACAUGGCAACAACCCCACACUGGGACUGUUCCACACCGCAACAACCGCACCGUGAGACUGUCCCCUCACAGACACCGAACAACCCCACCCUGGGACUGUCCCCUCACAGACACCGCAACAACCCCACUCUGGGACUGUCCCCUCACAGACACCCCAACAACCCCACCCAGCACAUUCCCGUAUUCCCAGCAUGGACCACCAUGGACCACCUCAGACCAGCUGCAGGAGGUCCAGCAGCUCUUGGGCCUCCUGGAGAGCAGCAGGACACUGAGCGGGUUUGGGCAGUUGUCAGAAUCUGAGGUAUUGAUGAUUCCCAGAUUGUAGAAAGUCUCUGUCUCUGUCUUCUGCCAAAGAAGGAGCCAAAAUUCGUCUGUGCUGUUUCAAGGUUGUUUAUUCUGUUUAUCUCUAACAUGUUCUGCUGCCCUGCCGCAGCUCUGUCCUGCAGGGCAGCGUGUGGGGCUCUGCCCUCAGUGGGAUGGUACAAACAUUAAAUACCACAAACUACCUGUGCUGGAUUUACAAUAACGUGCCAAUAUCUGUCACCUACGUUGGACAGUGUGUCCCCAGCCUAAACCAACAGAAAAAUGCCAACACCACAGUGAAACAUGGAGGGCAUGAAGAAGGAGAGAAAGGACAAGGCACACCCAAUUUCCUCCAUCUUGUCCCCUCUGAACCCCUAAUCUAGAAACCUAAAAUUUUACUUUUUCACCCGUGCCACACUUAAUUAUUACUUAUAUCAAACACUCAGAGCUGGUAAUUCAUCCUGUAAGAUUGAAAACUCUUUUCCAUGGGCAGAGAUCACAGCCAGUGUCUCUGGGGGCUCUGUCCAGGGGGGUUCCUGACCCCUGCCAGGGUCCCAGAGCUGCCAGGGCAGCCAGAGGGAAGCUCUGGGUUCCCACGGAGUGGAACCGGACACGCCAGCCUGGAGAGACAGGAUGGUCCAGGAGAGAUGGGCAGCUCAAGGGCAAUGCCAGGAACAAUUGGAUGAUGCAGAGAAAGGUGCACAAGGAUGAGUUGGCCUUGGCCAAAGGGAGGGACAAGGGAAAGAUUGCAAAAGUUGUGUUUUGUAAUAGUCUUAAGUGAAAAAACCCCUUUGUUUUCCAAACCAGGCACAUGCUGCUGCCUCCCACGGCAUCCCAGCAGAGUCCAGAGGAGAGGAACCCAACACUGAGCAGAACCAGCAGCUGCUGACCCUGAGGAACCUCAACAAUCCCUAAAAAGCUUCUAAAAAGCAGGAAACCCCAGGAGACAAGUUCCUUCCCUCGGGCAGAAACCUCCUUUGCAGGUACGGGGGGAGGGCUGUGCUGAGACCCCCAACCUCACCUCCCCUCCCCACCAGGCCUGGGAGAGCAAACUCAUCUUCCCCCCACAAAAACAGAGUGGUUUUAUUUGUGUGGUGUGGUUAAAUCGAUUUUAUAGAACUUCAGCUGGAACAGAGAAGCUUCAAGAUAGAUACACUCAUAAAAGUGCAGACACGCGGGGUAUUUCCCUGCUUUAUAAUUCUCAUCCUGUGCUUCUUGAACUCACAAACCAGCAAAAUAUAAUAAAAUAAAAUAAAGUUAAAAUAAAAUAAAAUAAAAUAAAAUAAAAUAAAAUAAAAUAAAAUAAAAUAAAAUAAAAUAAAAUAAAAUAAAAUAAAAUAAAAUAAAAUAAAAUAAAAUAAAAUAAAAAUAAUAUAAAAGAAAUAAAAAUUAUGUGUCACAGGGUGACACACCAGAGUGUGCUGGGUGACAGUGACACAGGGACCUGUCCCCUGUGACAGGAACACACCACACUGUGCUGGGUGACAGUGACACAGGGACCUGUCCCCAGUGACAGGGACACACCACACUGUGCUGGGGGACACAGGGUGACACAGGGACCUGUCCCCAGUGACAGGGACACACCACACUGUGCUGGGGGACACAGGGUGACACAGGGACCUGUCCCCAGUGACAGGGACACACCACACUGUGCUGGGGGACACAGGGUGACACACUGUGCUGGGUGACAGUGACACAGGGGACAGGUCCCUGUGUCACCCUGUGUCCCCCAGCACAGGGCCUUCCUCCCAUGGGGUCACAUCUUCACAGGGAUGGGCUGGCCAGGGUGGUGACAUCACUCCCAGUACUCCCAGUACCUCAUCCUGGUACCACCCUACAUAUAACACCCCCCUGUCCAUGUUCCUUCCCAGACAGGGGUUUUCUGUGACACCCCAUAAUCCCAUCCACGCCCUGGGGUGAUGGCCUGGCUGCUGCCUCCCUCCCUGCCCAGCCCCUGCCCCAACCCACGGGGUACCAACCACCCUGGGGGAUGCUCCAGCUCCCUUUGGGGUGUCUCCAGCCCCCCACAGUUCUUCUGACACCCCAAAGGGACGCUUUGCCUUCCCCAGGGGAUGCUCCAGGUCCCCACAGGUGCUCCUGGUACAUGAAGGGGAUGCAUCCAGCCCCUCCUCUGGGAUGUUCUGGUCCCUUUAUAUGAUUUUCAUCCCUUGGGAUGUUCCUGGUGUCCUGAGGGGUGUCCUGAGGGGAUGCUCUGGCCCCUACAAGACAAUGCUGUGCCACCACGGGGAUGCUGUGGCUUUCCAAGGGGACAUUUCAGACGUGUCAGGGUGUCCAGGCGCUGUCACCGCGGGGCUGUGGGUGGCAGCCCGUGGGCCUCCCUUGGCCGUCCCAGCCUCCAGGCAUCGCUCAGGCAUAGGAUGACAAAGGGAAGCUCACAGGGGGCAGCGGGCCCGGGCCUGCGGACAGAGGAGAGAGUGAGGGGACAGCAAGAG
rnacentral:lncRNA from 1 species